rnacentral:pre_miRNA from 1 species
GCAGGGAAGAGGAAGAAAGAGAGUCUCUAAGAGCGAUGGGAAUAGGAACAUGGAGGAAAGCCUAAGCUAAAUUUUCUAUUCCAGAAGAUUUGCUCUGAGUUUUCCUGAUGCCUCCUAUUCCUACUGAUCUUAGGUAUUCCUUCCUCUUCCUCCUUUUA